CAAAACUUUUAACAACGGAUCUCUUGGUUCUGGCAUCGAUGAAGAACGCAGCGAAAUGCGAUGAAGAACGCAGCGAAAUGCGAUAAGUAAUGUGAAUUGCAGAAUUCAGUGAAUCAUCGAAUCUUUGAACGCACAUUGCGCCCGCCAG
rnacentral:rRNA from 1 species